UGGGUCCAUAUCACGUUGAAGCAACGUUUUUCAUACGAUCACCGAAGUUAAGCAACGUCGCGACUCGUCAGUACCUAGAUGGGUGACCGCUUAGGAAUACCUGGUGA